rnacentral:rRNA from 1 species
CAUUUGUUCUCUAAAUAAGGACUUGUAUGAAUGGCCACACGAGGGUUUUACUGUCUCUUACUUCCAAUCAGUGAAAUUGACCUUCCCGUGAAGAGGCGGGAAUGCAUAAAUAAGACGAGAAGACCCUAUGGAGCUUUAACUAACCAACCCAAAGAAAAUAAAUUUAACCAUUGAGGAACAACAACAAUCUCCAUGAGUUGGUAGUUUCGGUUGGGGUGACCUCGGAGAAUAAAAAAUCCUCCGAACGAUUUUAAAGACUAGACCCACAAGUCAAAUCACUCUAUCGCUCAUUGAUCCAAAAAUUUGAUCAACGGAACAAGUUACCCUAGGGAUAACAGCGCAAUCCUAUUUAAGAGUCCAUAUCGACAAUAGGGUUUACGACCUCGAUGUUGGAUCAGGACAUCCUGAUGGUGCAACCGCUAUCAAAGGUUCGUUUGUUCAACGAUUAAAGUCCU